rnacentral:rRNA from 1 species
GGCGGACGGGUGAGGAACGCGUGAGAAUCUGGCUUCAGGUUCGGGACAACCAUUGGAAACGGUGGCUAAGACCGGAUGUGCCUAAGGGUGAAAGAUUAAUCGCCUGAAGAUGAGCUCGCGUCUGAUUAGCUAGUUGGUGGGGUAAGAGCCUACCAAGGCGACGAUCAGUAACUGGUCUGGGAGGAUGAUCAGUCACACUGGGACUGAGACACGGCCCAGACUCCUACGGGAGGCAGCAGUGGGGAAUUUUCCGCAAUGGGCGAAAGCCUGACGGAGCAAUACCGCGUGGGGGAGGAAGGUUCUUGGAUUGUAAACCCCUUUUCUCAAGGAAGAUAAUGACGGUACUUGAGGAAUCAGCAUCGGCUAACUCCGUGCCAGCAGCCGCGGUAAUACGGAGGAUGCAAGCGUUAUCCGGAAUGAUUGGGCGUAAAGCGUCCGCAGGUGGCACUUCAAGUCUGCUGUUAAAGACUGGGGCUCAACCCUGGAAAGGCGGUGGAAACUGAGGAGCUAGAGUGUGGUAGGGGUAGAGGGAAUUCCCAGUGUGGCGGUGAAAUGCGUAGAGAUUGGGAAGAACACCGGUGGCGAAAGCGCUCUGCUAGACCAUAACUGACACUCAGGGACGAAAGCUAGGGGAGCGAAUGGGAUUAG